rnacentral:tRNA from 1 species
UAGCCUAGUGGAUAAGGCUAUGGAUCGCCAAUCCGGAGAUGGCGGGUUCGAUUCCCGU